rnacentral:rRNA from 1 species
AUCUAUACUGUGAAACUGCGAAUGGCUCAUUAAAUCAGUUAUCGUUUAUUUGAUAGUACCUUACUACUUGGAUAACCGUGGUAAUUCUAGAGCUAAUACAUGCUAAAAACCCCGACUUCGGAAGGGGUGUAUUUAUUAGAUAAAAAACCAAUGCCCUUCGGGGCUCCUUGGUGAUUCAUGAUAACUUAACGAAUCGCAUGGCCUUGCGCCGGCGAUGGUUCAUUCAAAUUUCUGCCCUAUCAACUUUCGAUGGUAGGAUAGUGGCCUACCAUGGUAUCAACGGGUAACGGGGAAUUAGGGUUCUAUUCCGGAGAGGGAGCCUGAGAAACGGCUACCACAUCCAAGGAAGGCAGCAGGCGCGCAAAUUACCCAAUCCCGACACGGGGAGGUAGUGACAAUAAAUACUGAUACAGGGCUCUUUUGGGUCUUGUAAUUGGAAUGAGUACAAUUUAAAUACCUUAACGAGGAACAAUUGGAGGGCAAGUCUGGUGCCAGCAGCCGCGGUAAUUCCAGCUCCAAUAGCGUAUAUUAAAGUUGUUGCAGUUAAAAAGCUCGUAGUUGAACCUUGGGCCUGGCUGGCCGGUCCGCCUCACCGCGUGUACUGGUCCGGCCGGGCCUUUCCUUCUGGGGAUCCGCAUGCCCUUCACUGGGUGUGUCGGGGAACCAGGACUUUUACUUUGAAAAAAUUAGAGUGUUCAAAGCAGGCCUUUGCUCGAAUACAUUAGCAUGGAAUAAUAGAAUAGGACGUGCGGUCCUAUUUUGUUGGUUUCUAGGACCGCCGUAAUGAUUAAUAGGGAUAGUCGGGGGCAUCAGUAUUCAAUUGUCAGAGGUGAAAUUUUUUGGAUUUAUUGAAGACUAACUACUGCGAAAGCAUUUGCCAAGGAUGUUUUCAUUAAUCAGUGAACGAAAGUUAGGGGGUUGAAAGACGAUCAGAUACCGUCGUAGUCUUAACCGUAAACUAUGCCGACUAGGGAUCGGGCGAUGUUAUUCUUUUGACUCGCUCGGCACCUUACGAGAAAUCAAAGUCU